AGCGGGUUAGUGUAAUAGUAAACAUAUUCGGCUCAUGAUCGAAAGAUAGCGAGGUGCAAGUCCCCUACCCGCGU
rfam:Stachybotrys chartarum IBT 40288 unplaced genomic scaffold C40866, whole genome shotgun sequence.